rnacentral:rRNA from 1 species
AACGAACGCUGGCGGCGUGCUUAACACAUGCAAGUCGAACGGAAAGGCCCUGCUUUGUGGGGGUCCUCGAGUGGCGACCGGGUGAGUAACACGUGGGUAACCUGCCCUUGCCUUUGGGAUAACUUCAGAAAACUGGGGCUAUUACCGGAUAGGAGCUCCUGCUGCUGGGUGGGGGUGGGAAAGUUUCGGCGGUUGGGGAUGGACUCGCGGCUUAUCAGCUUGUUGGUGGGGUGGUGGCUUACCAAGGCUUUGACGGGUAGCCGGCCUGAGAGGGUGACCGGCCACAUUGGGACUGAGAUACGGCCCAGACUCCUACGGGAGGCAGCAGUGGGGAAUAUUGCACAAUGGGCGGAAGCCUGAUGCAGCAACGCCGCGUGCGGGAUGACGGCCUUCGGGUUGUAAACCGCUUUCGCCUGUGACGAAGCGUGAGUGACGGUAAUGGGUAAAGAAGCACCGGCUAACUACGUG